AGCCGUUGAAGCAUGAUCCCGUUCAGGGGGUGACUGUUGAGGCCUUGUAUGGGUUAUGCGUUAGCCGUUACCUGAAUAGCCUAGGCGAAAAAGAAAACGCAUUCA
rnacentral:ncRNA from 1 species